AGGCCUUCAAUGAGCAUAUCUGUCUUUUAAAAGGGUGUUCAGAAUAAAGAGAGGGUGAGAAGAGAAGAAGGAGAAUGUACACCAAAAGGUCGCGGGCAUGCUGGAGCCUAUCCCAGCUGUCAUCGGGCAGGAGGCGGGAUACAACUGAACUGGUUGCCAGC